rnacentral:lncRNA from 1 species
GUGUUUUUGAGGAUGGGGGUGUUUUUUUUCUUAGGAAUUUUCUUGUGGCACACAGAAAAAUCUUUCUAAUAACAAAGAGAAAACUCAUGAAGAUGAAUAGGGAUAAUGAACUCCACUCUUUCUCUUCUAUGCAGGGGAGUGGAACUGCUCGAAUGUGAAUGUCCUGGCAGGAGGGGGCAGCUGUGCUCACAGGGAAAGACUACACUCUGAAAGCAUGGAUCCUGGACAGCCUAUGCUCCCAAGCUUCUGCAGAUGAAGCUGCUGUGACAACAGUGUUAAAGAUGCCCUACAGUGAUCACACCAUCCUUGUCCCUUUUGGUUACUGUGCUGAGAGAGGUACUUGGGAUUAGACUCUUCUUCAUCCCUCAGAAGGUAACCCUGGGGAGGAACUCAGUUGAUCACUCUGAUUUUCCAUGGCUAGUUACACACAUCAGUCUCCAGCCCCACCCUUCACCUGGCUAACUCUUAGCUCUUCCUCUCCUG